rnacentral:rRNA from 1 species
AUUGAACGCUGGCGGCAUGCCUUACACAUGCAAGUCGAACGGCAGCACGGGAGCUUGCUCCUGGUGGCGAGUGGCGAACGGGUGAGUAAUACAUCGGAACGUACCCAGUAGUGGGGGAUAACGCACCGAAAGGUGCGCUAAUACCGCAUACGACCUACGGGUGAAAGCGGGGGACCGUAAGGCCUCGCGCUAUUGGAGCGGCCGAUGUCUGAUUAGCUAGUUGGCGGGGUAAAAGCCCACCAAGGCGACGAUCAGUAGCUGGUCUGAGAGGACGAUCAGCCACACUGGGACUGAGACACGGCCCAGACUCCUACGGGAGGCAGCAGUGGGGAAUUUUGGACAAUGGGGGCAACCCUGAUCCAGCAAUGCCGCGUGUGCGAAGAAGGCCUUCGGGUUGUAAGCACUUUUGUCAGGGAAGAAAUCUUUCAGGCUAAUACCCUUGGAAGGAUGACGGUACCUGAAGAAUAAGCACCGGCUAACUACGUGCCAGCAGCCGCCGUAA